GCCAGCGAGAGAGCGUUGCCGCAGGCAACGACCCGAAGGGCGAAGCGCGCAGCGUUGAGUAAUCCUUCCCCCACCACCA
rnacentral:sRNA from 1 species